UCAGAGGUGCACAUCUGAAUUACCACCGCUC
rnacentral:piRNA from 1 species